rnacentral:rRNA from 1 species
GACGAACGCUGGCGGCGUGCUUAACACAUGCAGGUCGAACGGUAAGGCUCCAGCUUGCUGGGGUACACGAGUGGCGAACGGGUGAGUAACACGUGGGUGACCUGCCCUGCACUUCGGGAUAAGCCUGGGAAACUGGGUCUAAUACCGGAUAGGACCGCACCGUGAGGGUGUGGUGGAAAGUUUUUUCGGUGUGGGAUGGGCCCGCGGCCUAUCAGCUUGUUGGUGGGGUAAUGGCCUACCAAGGCGGCGACGGGUAGCCGGCCUGAGAGGGUGGACGGCCACAUUGGGACUGAGACACGGCCCAGACUCCUACGGGAGGCAGCAGUGGGGAAUAUUGCACAAUGGGCGGAAGCCUGAUGCAGCGACGCCGCGUGGGGGAUGACGGCCUUCGGGUUGUAAACUCCUUUCACCAUCGACGAAGGGUUUCUGACGGUAGAUGGAGAAGAAGCACCGGCUAACUACGUG